CACCUAAUCAUGUUUCUUUAGGCUUAACCUCCUCACAGAUUUCCACAGGGAUAAAUCCAGCACUAUCCUAUACUCAACCUCAAGGAAUUCCUGAUACAGAAAGUCCAGUUCCAGUUAUUAAUCUUAAAGAUGGAACGAGACUUGCAGGAGAUGAUGCACCAAAGAGAAAGGAUUUGGAAAAAUGGCUUAAGGAGCACCCGGGUUAUGUGGAAGAUUUGGGAGCUUUUAUUCCUAGAAUGCAGCUUCAUGAGGGAAGACCCAAACAAAAAAGACACCGUUGCAGAAACCCCAAUAAACUAGAUGUGAAUAGUCUCACUGGAGAAGAACGUGUUCAACUGAUUAACAGAAGAAAUGCUAGAAAGGCUUAAGGAUUGAUGAGUUAUUAAGGAAAAGAAUCUACCUGCUAAAUCCCCAUAAACCCCCAAGAGGGCCUCCAUUUUCAAUAGAAGCUUAAUGAAGGAGAUAAUAAAAAAGAGAAGACAACAGAAUUACAGAGACUAAGUUGGAGGUGCAUUUGCUCCCCCUUUGAAAGAUUUAUG
rnacentral:lncRNA from 1 species